GACGCUGAGGAGCGAAAGGUUGGGGAGCAAACAGGCUUAGAUACCCUGGUAGUCCACCCCGUAAACGUUGGAACUAGUUGUGGGGUCCAUUCCACGGAUUCCGUGACGCAGCUAACGCAUUAAGUUCCCCGCCUGGGGAGUACGGCCGCAAGGCUAAAACUCAAAGGAAUUGACGGGGACCCGCACAAGCGGCGGAGCAUGCGGAUUAAUUCGAUGCAACGCGAAGAACCUUACCAAGGCUUGACAUAUAGAGGAAACGUCUGGAAACAGUCGCCCCGCAAGGUCUCUAUACAGGUGGUGCAUGGUUGUCGUCAGCUCGUGUCGUGAGAUGUUGGGUUAAGUCCCGCAACGAGCGCAACCCUCGUUCUAUGUUGCCAGCACGUAAUGGUGGGAACUCAUGGGAUACUGCCGGGGUCAACUCGGAGGAAGGUGGGGAUGACGUCAAAUCAUCAUGCCCCUUAUGUCUUGGGCUUCACGCAUGCUACAAUGGCCGGUACAAAGGGCUGCAAUACCGUGAGGUGGAGCGAAUCCCAAAAAGCCGGUCCCAGUUCGGAUUGAGGUCUGCAACUCG
rnacentral:rRNA from 1 species